rnacentral:misc_RNA from 1 species
GAUGAAGAACGCAGCGAAAUGCGAUACGUAAUGUGAAUUGCAGAAUUCAGUGAAUCAUCGAGUCUUUGAACGCACAUUGCGCCCCCUGGUAUUCCGGGGGGCAUGCCUGUCCGAGCGUCAUUGCUGCCCUCAAGCACGGCUUGUGUGUUGGGCCUCCGUCCUCCUCCCGGGGGACGGGCCCGAAAGGCAGCGGCGGCACCGCGUCCGGUCCUCGAGCGUAUGGGGCUUCGUCACCCGCUCUUGUAGGCCCGGCCGGCGCUUGCCGACACAUCAAUCUUUUUUCCAGGUUGACCUCGGAUCAGGUAGGGAUACCCGCUGAGCUUAAGCAUAUCAAUAAGCGGAGGA